ACGAACGCUGGCGGCGUGCUUAACACAUGCAAGUCGGACGGUAAGGCCCUUUCGGGGGUACACGAGUGGCGAACGGGGGAGUAACACGUGAGUAACCUGCCCACAACUUUGGGAUAACGCUAGGAAACUGGGGCUAAUACUGGACAUGUGCUCCUGCUGCAUGGUGGGGGGUGGAAAGCUCCGGCGGUUUUGGAUGGACUCGCGGCCUAUCGGCUUGUUGGUGGGGUAGUGGCCUACCAAGGCGGCGACGGGUAGCCGGCCUGUGAGGGUGAGCGGCCACAUUGGGACUUAGAUACGGCCCAGACUCCGACUGGUGGCAGCAGUGGGGAAUAUUGCACCAUGGGCGCAAGCCGGAUGCAGAAACGCCGCGGGCGGGAUGACGGCCUUCGGGUUGUAAACCGCUUUCAGCAUGGACGAAGCUUUUUGUGACGUUACCUGCAGAAGAAGCACCGGCUAACUACGUG
rnacentral:rRNA from 1 species